GAGUGAGCGGGUGCUAGCAUGCAGUCGUACGCACAGCAAUGUGAGUGGCGCAAGGGUGAGUAAUGCGAAGGUAACCAACCCUGAAGUUGGGCAUAGCCGCGGGAAACUGCGGGUAAUUCCCAGCGACGUUGCGAGAUGGCAUCAUUUUGCAACCAAAGGUGUGAUUCCGCUUUAGGACGGGCCUUCGUGGUAUUAGGUAGUUGGUGAGGUAACGGCUCACCAAGCCUACGAUGCCUACCGGGUGUGAGAGCAUGACCCGGCACACUGGAACUGAGACACUGUCCAGACACCUACGGGUGGCUGCAGUCGAGAAUCUUCGGCAAUGGGCGAAAGCCUGACCGAGCGACGCCGCGUGAGGGAUUGAAGGCCUUCGGGUUGUAAACCUCUUUCGUAGAGGAGGAAGGGGCUGUGAAGAACAGUCCUUGACCUAUUCUAGGAAGAAGCUUGGGCUAAGUUCGUGCCAGCAGCCGCGGUAAGACGAACCAAGCGAACGUUAUUCGGAAUUACUGGGCUUAAAGCGCGUGUAGGCGGACUACCACGUUGGUUGUUGAAAUCCCCCGGCUUAACCGGGGAACUGGCGCCAAUACGAGUAGUCUGGAGGUGGGUAGGGGAGACUGGAACUUCCGGUGGAGCGGUGAAAUGCGUUGAGAUCGGAAGGAACGCCCGCGGCGAAAGCGAGUCUCUGGACCCAUACUGACGCUGAGACGCGAAAGCCAGGGGAGCAAACGGGAUUAGAUACCCCGGUAGUCCUGGCUGUAAACAUUGGGCACUGGGUAGUGGAACCGCCGAUGGUUUCACUGCCGCAGGGAAACCGUGAAGUGCCCCGCCUGGGGAGUAUGGUCGCAAGGCUGAAACUCAAAGGAAUUGACGG
rnacentral:rRNA from 1 species